UUUAUCGUGUCUGUUUAUUUCAAAGUGCUAAAUAUUUAUAUAAUUGAUAUUAUUGCGAUUCCAGUAUCGGAGAUUUGCAUCUGUGCAUCUCAAAUCAUCUUCGCAUAAAUUAGGUUAUCUUUUUGCCGAAAUGCAGUAAAAAAGCAAUGAGUGCAAUGAUUAUUAUUAGUAUCAGUGACUCGCGUUUGUGCGCCCGAAAAUCAUCGCCCGAAUUUCUUCGUACAAAUGAAGUUAUCUUGUCGUCUGAAAGACAAUGGAAAAGCAUCAAGUGUAUGAUUAUUAUCAGAAUCGUCAAUCCCGCUUACCUCCUUCUCGAGAAGAAGUCCGAAUUUCUCCAUGACAUCUUUGCCGAGUAA